rnacentral:rRNA from 1 species
UACGUAGGGUGCGAGCGUUGUCCGGAAUUAUUGGGCGUAAAGAGCUUGUAGGCGGUUUGUCGCGUCUGCUGUGAAAAUCCGGGGCUCAACCCCGGACUUGCAGUGGGUACGGGCAGACUAGAGUGUGGUAGGGGAGACUGGAAUUCUGGUGUAGCGGUGAAAUGCGCAGAUAUCAGGAGGAACACCGAUGGCGAAGGCAG